UACGUAGGGUGCAAGCGUUGUCCGGAAUUAUUGGGCGUAAAGGAGCUCGUAGGCGGUCUGUCGCGUCGGCUGUGAAAUCCCGAGGCUCAACCUCGGGUCUGCAGUCGAUACGGGCAAACUGGAGUGUUGCGAGGGGAGACUGGAAUUCCUGGUGUAGCGGUAGAAAUGCGUAGAUAUCUGGAGGAACACCGGUGGCGAAGGCGGCAUCCUGGACCAACACGUGACGCUGAGGAG
rnacentral:rRNA from 1 species